rnacentral:rRNA from 1 species
GAUGAACGCUGGCGGCGUGCCUAAUACAUGCAAGUCGAGCGAACAGAUGAGGAGCUUGCUCCUCUGACGUUAGCGGCGGACGGGUGAGUAACACGUGGAUAACCUACCUAUAAGACUGGGAUAACUUCGGGAAACCGGCGCUAAUACCGGAUAAUAUAUUGCACCGCAUGGUUCAAUAGUGAAAGACGGUUUUGCUGUCACUUAUAGAUGGAUCUGCGCCGCAUUAGCUAGUUGGUAAGGUAACGGCUUACCAAGGCAACGAUGCGUAGCCGACCUGAGAGGGUGAUCGGCCACACUGGAACUGAGACACGGUCCAGACUCCUACGGGAGGCAGCAGUAGGGAAUCUUCCGCAAUGGGCGAAAGCCUGACGGAGCAACGCCGCGUGAGUGAUGAAGGUCUUCGGAUCGUAAAACUCUGUUAUUAGGGAAGAACAAAUGUGUAAGUAACUAUGCACGUCUUGACGGUACCUAAUCAGAAAGCCACGGCUAACUACGUG